rnacentral:rRNA from 1 species
CCUACGGGAGGCAGCAGUGGGGAAUAUUGGGCAAUGGGCGCAAGCCUGACCCAGCAACGCCGCGUGAAGGAAGAAGGCUUUCGGGUUGUAAACUUCUUUUCUGAGGGACGAAGAAAGUGACGGUACCUCAGGAAUAAGCCACGGCUAACUCCGUGCCAGCAGCCGCGGUAAUACGGAGGGUGCAAGCGUUGUCCGGAAUCAUUGGGCGUAAAGAGUUCGUAGGCGGUAUGUUAAGUCUGGUGUUAAAUGCAGAAGCUCAACUUCUGUUCGGCACUGGAUACUGGCAAACUAGAAUGCGGUAGAGGUAAAGGGAAUUCCUGGUGUAGCGGUGAAAUGCUUAGAUAUCAGGAGGAACAUCGGUGGCGUAAGCGCUUUACUGGGCCGUAAUUGACGCUGAGGAACGAAAGCCAGGGUAGCAAAUGGGAUUAGAUACCCUAGUAGUC